rnacentral:rRNA from 1 species
UACGGAGGAUGCGAGCGUUAUCCGGAUUUAUUGGGUGUAAAGGGUGCGUAGACGGGAAAAUAAGUUAGUUGUGAAAUCCCUCGGCUCAACUGAGGAACUGCAACUAAAACUAUUUUUCUUGAGUGCAGGAGAGGAAAGUGGAAUUCCUAGUGUAGCGGUGAAAUGCGUAGAUAUUAGGAGGAACACCAGUGGCGAAGGCGACUUUCUGGACUGUAAAUGACGCUGAGGCUCGAAAGCGUGGGGAGCAAACAGG